rnacentral:rRNA from 1 species
UGUGUAGGCGGUCCCGUAAGUCGGGUGUGAAAGCCCUGGGCUCAACCCAGGAAGUGCACUCGAUACUGCAGGGCUAGAGUAUCGGAGAGGUUGGUGGAAUUCUCGGUGUAGAGGUGAAAUUCGUAGAUAUCGAGAGGAACACCGGUGGCGAAGGCGGCCAACUGGACGAAUACUGACGCUGAGACACGAAAGCGUGGGGAGCAAACA